UAAAAAAGUCUUCAAAGCUAAACUUCUGCUUUCGGCAUACAGAAGAACAUCUUCAAAGUUGGAGGCAAAUGCAUUCUUUGGGCACAAUGUCCUCAUUUCAAGGUUUACAAUUUCUCUUAGUUUUAACUUAAUUAACAUUUUCAUUACUCUUUUCUGGUGUGUUAUUUGGAUGUCAUGGAGUUUACUUGCCCCAUCGGUCCAUAUUUCUUUUCAGAUAUGAUUAAAUACCAUAUAUGAAUUGUUAAUAUAUUAGUGUAACAUGUCUAGAUGAUUGUAUAACUUAACUAACAUUUUCAUUACUUUUUUCUGGUGUAUUAUUUGGAUGGCAUGGAGUUUUACUUGCACCACGUUCCAUAAUUUCUUUUCAGAUAUGAUUAAAUAACAUAUAAGAAUUGUUA
rnacentral:lncRNA from 1 species